GAUUAGUACAGAUUUGACUAACCUGUCAAAAAAUGCAAUGAAAGCAGUGGGUCAGAUGGUCCAGAACAAAACAUAAAUUCCAGUAAUUUCAACUCCCCUAUGAAGUCAAUCUUAUGGACGACUACUGCUAGGAGAAACCUAAUAAAUGUUAUCUGCUAUAAAAAUCGUGGCUUUGUUUAGACACAGCAUAGAGUAGACUUGGACUAAUUGCCAGUAGGUAUUGUGGCCAACUUUCCAUUCAAGCAGUUCCAGAGAGAUGCAAUCCCAUGGCAUUUCAUCCUGGAACAUACGAUUUUUAUUAAAGGAUUGUUCAAGGGCCAUAUAUCUCAUUUACUUUUGAAACUAAAGUCCCUCUGAGAUUGAAACAACACACCCUGAGAUCUCUUUCUAUGCACGGAAUAAUUCUAUUAUCCAAAAGCAGAGUUUUUGAACAUCCAAGCAGCCCACCAGGUCAUUAGUAAAGACCCAAUGGGCAAUUAGCAGUCACUCAAGACGUGGCUGCUUUUAGAAUCCUUCUAACAUCAUUAGUCGCUGAACUCUAAAAAUGACCUUCUGAGGAAAGAGCUCCAGCCAACAAAAGCCACAUGCUUUUCUCUCACUGAUAAAGCCUCUGCUGUGUUGACCUUUCAGGCCUUUGCAUGUAUGGUUACAUUUUUUUAGACAUACCUAGAAAGAAAGAUGCUAUAAAGAGUCCCCUGCUUUCAGCAUUUUAUGAGCUAAAACCCUAGUGAUGCACAAAAUGUGUUGCUCUGCGUGAACUCCGAAGCCAUGUGGGAAAGUCAUUGUCAUUUCAGCAGAAGGUCUGUACUCUUGUAGGUUUCUAAACCGGAAGUUUGUGCUCCACCUAUAUGUACGCAUGCCUGCAAUGCACACAUGAGGUCACCUUAACAUGUCAAGAUCUGAUCCCGUUGUCUGCCAACCCCAGAGCAGCUCUGACACCUAUGCUCCCCUGCCAAGCAGCGAGGGCACUCGCCCUCCCCUUCCUUGCAGCCGCACCGAGCUGUACUUUUGUUUCCAUUUAAAAGAACUGAAUUCCAAAAGCCUCGUUUUAAAAAAGCAAUUGGGAAUGAAAAUACAUAAGAAUAAUCCUAAAAGAUAAAUCCAUAUAUUUAACCUGUUGAACUACUAGGUUUUUUUUUUCUUUUCCUGGUGGCCAUAUAUCUAUACAGGUGUGUAGGUGUGCCUACAUGAAUAUCUGUGUUUGUAUAUAGAACAUGAAGAAUAAAGGAUGAUAUUUGUGAUAUGGUCUUAUAAGUUACUGGCUCCUGUAGAAUUAACUGUGAAGCUUUAUGUGAUAAAGUUGUGACGUAUGUAUUAGUUGGCACAUGUUUAAGCUCAAAACAAGUUGGCUAAAUUAUCAUGAAGCAGUACCAACUGUUCACGGGUACGAAUUUAUCCAAGACCGAUUGGAAUCCAGACAAACAAAAAAAUUGAAGUCCAAGCAAAUCCAAUCUUACAGUGAUUGAUAAAUGUAAAUACUCAUUGAUGUUUUCACUGUAAAUUCUUGAUGCUCAGCCAGUAAUCUGACAGAAUGCAGUGACACUUUCCUGUUGUGUGUGUACUGAUGACUACAGCGAUUAUCAAUGGGAAAUUCACCAAACAAACUGAUUUCUAGACUUGUGGACAGUUGAGUGUUGUGCUGAAAUAAAAGUAGAAAAGGUCAAAGUAAAUUCGGUUUGAAGCCUUGUUAUGAAGCCAGACAACAUGUAAGGCCAUGCUGUGUGUCCUUUUUAUAAACUGUUUUGGAGAC
rnacentral:lncRNA from 1 species